GGCUUAACACAUGCAAGUCGAGGGGCAGCAUUUUAGUUUGCUUGCAAACUGAAGAUGGCGACCGGCGCACGGGUGAGUAACACGUAUCCAACCUGCCGAUAACUCCGGGAUAGCCUUUCGAAAGAAAGAUUAGUACCGGAUGGCAUACGAAUAUCGCAUGAUAUUUUUAUUAAAGAAUUUCGGUUAUCGAUGGGGAUGCGUUCCAUUAGUUUGUUGGCGGGGUAACGGCCCACCAAGACUACGAUGGAUAGGGGUUCUGAGAGGAAGGUCCCCCACAUUGGAACUGAGACACGGUCCAAACUCCUACGGGAGGCAGCAGUGAGGAAUAUUGGUCAAUGGGCGAGAGCCUGAACCAGCCAAGUAGCGUGAAGGAUGAAGGCUCUAUGGGUCGUAAACUUCUUUUAUAUGGGAAUAAAGUUUUCUACGUGUGGAAUUUUGUAUGUACCAUAUGAAUAAGGAUCGGCUAACUCCGUGCCAGCAGCCGCGGUAAUACGGAGGAUCCGAGCGUUAUCCGGAUUUAUUGGGUUUAAAGGGAGCGUAGGUGGAUUGUUAAGUCAGUUGUGAAAGUUUGCGGCUCAACCGUAAAAUUGCAGUUGAAACUGGCAGUCUUGAGUACAGUAGAGGUGGGCGGAAUUCGUGGUGUAGCGGUGAAAUGCUUAGAUAUCACGAAGAACUCCGAUUGCGA
rnacentral:rRNA from 1 species